UACGAAGGGGGCUAGCGUUGUUCGGAAUUACUGGGCGUAAAGGGCGCGUAGGCGGCCCGUCAAGUCCCGUGUGAAAGCCCCCGGCUCAACCGGGGAACUGCACGGGAAACUAGCAGGCUUGAGUUCGGGAGAGGGAAGCGGAAUUCCGGGUGUAGCGGUGAAAUGCGCAGAUAUCCGGAGGAACACCGGUGGCGAAGGCGGCUUCCUGGACCGACACUGACGCUGAGGCGCGAAAGCUAGGGGAGCAAACGGG
rnacentral:rRNA from 1 species